rnacentral:rRNA from 1 species
UACAGAGGUCCCGAGCGUUGUUCGGAUUUAUUGGGCGUAAAGGGUGCGUAGGCGGCGGAGUAAGUUGGGUGUGAAAUCCCGGGGCUUAACCUCGGAAUGGCAUUCAAUACUGCUUCGCUCGAGUACUGGAGAGGAGGCUGGAAUUUACGGUGUAGCAGUGAAAUGCGUAGAUAUCGUAAGGAAGGCCGGUGGCGAAAGCGAGCCUCUGGACAGUUACUGACGCUGAUGCACGAAGGCCGGGGGAGCAAACGGG